rnacentral:tRNA from 1 species
GCGUUCGUAGCUCAGUUGGUUAGAGCACCACCUUGACAUGGUGGGGGUCGUUGGUUCGAGUCCAUUCAAACGCACCA